rnacentral:rRNA from 1 species
GUGCCAGCAGCCGCGGUAAUACGUAGGGUGCGAGCGUUAUCCGGAUUUAUUGGGCGUAAAGAGCUCGUAGGCGGUUUGUCGCGUCUGGUGUGAAAGUCCAUUGCUUAACGGUGGAUUGGCGCCGGGUACGGGCAGGCUAGAGUGCAGUAGGGGAGACUGGAAUUCCCGGUGUAACGGUGGAAUGUGUAGAUAUCGGGAAGAACACCAAUGGCGAAGGCAGGUCUCUGGGCUGUUACUGACGCUGAGGAGCGAAAGCGUGGGGAGCGAACAGGAUUAGAUACCCUGGUAGUCCACGCCGUAAACGGUGGAUGCUGGAUGUGGGGCCCAUUCCACGGGUUCCGCGUCGGAGCUAAACGCGUUAAGCAUCCCGCCUGGGGAGUACGGCCGCAAGGCUAAAACCUCAAAAGAAAAUUGACGGGGGCCCGCACAAGCGGUGGAGCAUGUGGUUUAAA